rnacentral:rRNA from 1 species
UACGAAGGGGGCUAGCGUUGCUCGGAAUCACUGGGCGUAAAGCGCACGUAGGCGGACUUUUAAGUCGGAGGUGAAAUCCUAGAGCUCAACUCCAGAACUGCCUUCGAUACUGAGAGUCUUCGAGUUCGGGAGAGGUGAGUGGAACUGCGAGUGUAGAGGUGAAAUUCGUAGAUAUUCGCAAGAACACCAGUGGCGAAGGCGGCUCACUGGCCCGAUACUGACGCUGAGGUGCGAAAGCGUGGGGAGCAAACAGG